rnacentral:rRNA from 1 species
UUCGGGUCGCCGGCGAGUGGCAAACGGGUGAGUAACGCGUGGAUACCUGUCCUGUGGUGGGGAAUAACGUUUAGAAAUGAACGCUAAUACCGCAUAAGCCCUGCGGGGGAAAGAUUUAUCGCCAUAGGAGGGGUCCGCGUCGGAUUAGCUAGUUGGUGGGGUAACGGCCUACCAAGGCGACGAUCCGUAGCUGGUCUGAGAGGAUGAUCAGCCACACUGGGACUGAGACACGGCCCAGACUCCUACGGGAGGCAGCAGUGGGGAAUAUUGCGCAAUGGAGGAAACUCUGACGCAGCGACGCCGCGUGGGUGAAGAAGGUCUUAGGGUUGUAAAGCCCUUUCAGUGGGAAAGAUGAUGACGGUACCCACAGAAGAAGCCCCGGCUAACUCCGUGCCAGCAGCCGCGGUAAUACGGAGGGGGCCAGCGUUGUUCGGAAUUACUGGGCGUAAAGGGCGCGUAGGCGGUUGAUCAAG